rnacentral:rRNA from 1 species
AACGAACGCUGGCGGCAGGCUUAACACAUGCAAGUCGAGCGCCCCGCAAGGGGAGCGGCAGACGGGUGAGUAACGCGUGGGAAUCUACCCAUCUCUACGGAAUAACGCAUGGAAACGUGUGCUAAUACCGUAUACGUCCUUCGGGAGAAAGAUUUAUCGGAGAUGGAUGAGCCCGCGUUGGAUUAGCUCGUUGGUGGGGUAAAGGCCUACCAAGGCGACGAUCCAUAGCUGGUCUGAGAGGAUGAUCAGCCACACUGGGACUGAGACACGGCCCAGACUCCUACGGGAGGCAGCAGGGGGGAAUAUUGGACAAUGGGCGCAAGCCUGAUCUAGCCAUGCCGCGUGAGCGAUGAAGGCCUUAGGGUUGUAAAGCUCUUUCAGUGGGGAAGAUAAUGACGGUACCCACAGAAGAAGCCCCGGCUAACUCCGUGCCAGCCGCCGCCGCAGUAA